rnacentral:rRNA from 1 species
AGCCUUCGGGUGGAUUAGUGGCGAACGGGUGAGUAACACGUGGGCAAUCUGCCCUGCACUCUGGGACAAGCCCUGGAAACGGGGUCUAAUACCGGAUAAUACUGUCCCCCUCAUGGGGGACGGUUGAAAGCUCCGGCGGUGCAGGAUGAGCCCGCGGCCUAUCAGCUUGUUGGUGGGGUAAUGGCCUACCAAGGCGACGACGGGUAGCCGGCCUGAGAGGGCGACCGGCCACACUGGGACUGAGACACGGCCCAGACUCCUACGGGAGGCAGCAGUGGGGAAUAUUGCACAAUGGGCGAAAGCCUGAUGCAGCGACGCCGCGUGAGGGAUGACGGCCUUCGGGUUGUAAACCUCUUUCAGCAGGGAAGAAGCGAAAGUGACGGUACCUGCAGAAGAAGCGCCGGCUAACUACGUGCCAGCAGCCGCGGUAAUACGUAGGGCGCAAGCGUUGUCCGGAAUUAUUGGGCGUAAAGAGCUCGUAGGCGGUCUGUCACGUCGGGUGUGAAAGCCCGGGGCUUAACCCCGGGUCUGCAUUCGAUACGGGCAGACUAGAGUGUGGUAGGGGAGAUCGGAAUUCCUGGUGUA